rnacentral:rRNA from 1 species
ACGCUCGACACCUACGGGGGCAGCAGUGAGGGAUAUUGGUCAAUGGGGGAAACCCUGAACCAGCAACGCCGCGUGAGGGAUGACGGUCUUCGGAUUGUAAACCUCUGUCCUCUGUGAAGAUAAUGACGGUAGCAGAGGAGGAAGCUCCGGCUAACUACGUGUCAGCAGCCGCGGUAAUCUGAGCGGGCUGGCAAGGC